GGGGGAAUAGAAAUGGCCUUGGAAUGGAAAGAGUUCUGGCCUCAAUAAAUCUUUUUGAGUUGGGGCAGAAUUCUCAGUUACGUUUCCCUGAGUGGUCACCCUGGAAACAGUACAGUUUACAACAUCUGGAGACCCAGAUGUUUCUGUUGGAUUAUGGUUGUAUGUGUAUGAAAUGUAAAUCAAGUGUUUUCUGCUGUUAGGCAAGAGUGUGUGUUUCAGUAAUGAAACAGUUAACAGCAGGCUAGUUUUGACUGACAGCCUGUUGUGACUGCUAUGACCUAUCAGGCAUGAUUUCCAGCUUUGGAGGUCGGAACUUCCUGCAGACUGAGGAAUGUGUUUUCUUAUCUCUGUGUGUUGAGCUGUGCUUGCCAAAGCGGAGAGGCUGAAGAGAAAUGCCAGCUCAGAGCGAUGGCUUUUGCUAUGCUUUGUAAAUAUGUAUUAUAGAUAUUAAAUAAAUGUUUGGACUUCAGACUACUGAUGUGUUUGAGUCUGACAUUGAACAGGAAUUGAUGAGGCAGCCGAUUGCAACCAAUUCAUCAGGGUGCUGGAAAAGAUGAUUGAUGGAGUUUGAAGAAACCCACCCUAGCACGCACCCUGACCUCCCAUGUUGACAGUUUCACCCAAGUUAACUGAGGAGUAGGUCCUAAAUAGCAACUGCCCCGGCUUAAUCCACACCAAGUUCAUGCCCCUUUAGAAAUGUUUAGCAAGUCACAAAAAGGUUAAUUAGGUAACAUUAAUAAAAGUUGUCUAUACUUAAUCCCAUAUUGUUGUGUGGUCUUGUCAAUUCAGGGGUUGGAUGGCAAAACAUCAAAGAAAAAGAAAACAACUACUUUGGGGAGAGCAAAGGGAAGUGGGGAGAGGAUGAGAUUCCUGCUCCCUGGCAUCACUUUCCUGCAGAUGAGCUGGCACAGAAGUGGAAGGGAUCCGUCACACCAAGGUGACUGAUGGAAUUUUAAGGGAUUGGGAGCUAUUAGUGGAUUGUAGCCAGAGAUGGGAGAAUCAUGGGGUCAGGGGCACAUUGGCAGCUGGAUGCACAUGGCAUUGUGUGAUAGGGAACGUUUCUGCUGGUUUGUUUGCCUUAUAAAAUAAAGUCCAAAGAUGCUGAACUGUUUUCAUUGCUACUUAACAGCAGUCAACUGCAAGCCUUAUUACCCUAAAGGCAACAGAUUCCAUCUGAUCUUAGAAACUAAGCAGGGGCAGCCCUGGUUAGUACUUGAAUGGGAGAAUGCUGUGGGCUGCACUUCAGAAGAAGAAACUGGCAAAACCAUCUCUGAGGCUUGGCAAUUCAAGACUUAUCUGUAUGUCCUAUCUACAGCUAAAUAAAUAUGUGGAUAAAUCCUUGAUGGUAUAUCAGGUUAUCUGCCUUGUUAAUUUUACAGCUGACCAUGAAUUAACCUGUAGGGAAGACACCCAUCUAACACAACAACAAUAAAUGCUGUUGAGGCUUCAUGAAUGUCAAGAAAGAUAGGAGGGGAAAUAAACAAGGAAAAUAAGACAUCUGAACACAGCGGAAAAAGAGGGAUGACAUUUAGGCAUUAAUGGGCAAAUGAAAAAGAAGAUAAACAUGAGAGAAGGAAGUAUUUAGCCACCACUGCAAUAUUCAUGUCUUCUCUUUGCUAUAAAUAGGAAUUUGGGACUAUGUAAUAUCAUUACAAUAAGCUUUGGUGAACUUAAGAGAUAGAAAGGGACUAAGAACCAGACGCAAUGAAGCUGCAUUUUCUGCUAGGGGUUGCUUUCUUCUGUCUUUUGGUUCUUGAGAGGUCUGGUGCAGUUCCAUUAAGGCUAGAGGAAAGGGGACAAGAAGUUGAACACAAUCAGGCAAGUUUGGUCUAAAUAUGAUAUUUCUCUCAAAACAUUUCUCUAACAAAUCUUGGAGUAUGUGUAUAUAUAUGUGUGUGUGUGUGUGUGUGUGUGUGUGUGUGUGUGUGUGUAUAUAUAUAUCUCAUGACUGGCAAAAUAGUUGCCAGCAAUGAGAUGGGGAACACAGCCAGAAUGUCAGUGAAAAUAGCAAAGGUCUUCUUUCUGUUGAUAAAGGAAGAGACACCGGUAAUCUCUUCCAGAAUGUAGAUUUGGCAAGAUUUGUAAUUUUCCUUCACUUUCAGAUAGCCUGCCCUAUAAUUUAUAAUGGUGGGAUGGGGAAAACUGUGGCAUUAUGAAAGUUACAGCCCCAAAGUUCCAUAAGAACUGAAGAUAUCUUUAAAAACAAAGGUCAGAAUACAGGAACACUUUAAGAAAUUAUGUUCCCAAAUCAAGAUCCAUUUCUUUUUAAUUUGAUAUUCUUUCCCCAUGGGAAAUAAAAUAAGAAAAACACCAUGGGCUAAAUUCGAACAUUGAUACUUUGUGGCUAUGAAAAAUGGCUAUAGUCUGAAAUUCUUAGAUUGAGUAAGUAUGAGGCAGAUUGAAUAAAUUAUAACAUAAGACAUAAGGCUCUAACACUUUCUUGUUCUACUUUCUAUUUCCCUUUAAAAUUUGACAUUUCAAAAUAACAUCCUUUCCUCUUUUGUAGAGAUGUGAACACGAAGAUGAACAUCACCAGGAAAGUCGAGAAGAAGAUGAAGACAACCAGGGAAAUGAAGAAGUAGAUGAACAAAAUGAGGAAAGAGAAGAAGAAGAAGAAGAAGAAGAAGAAGAAGAAGAAGAAGAAGAAGAAGAAGGGGAAGA